rnacentral:misc_RNA from 1 species
UCCGGUUUGUCACCGGCAGUCUCACAUGAGUCCCCAACUAAAUGCUGGCAACAUGCGACGGGGGUCGCGCUCGUUGCGGGACUUAACCCAACAUCUCACGACACGAGCUGACGACAGCCAUGCACCACCUGUCACUCAUCCAGCCGAACUGAAGGAAACCAUCUCUGGAAUCCGCGAUGAGGAUGUCAAACGCUGGUAAGGUUCUGCGCGUUGCUUCGAAUUAAUCCACAUAAUCCACCGCUUGUGCGGGUCCCCGUCAAUUCCUUUGAGUUUUAAUCUUGCGACCGUACUCCCCAGGCGGGGUGCUUAAAGCGUUAGCUGCGCCACCGAUGAGCAAGCUCACCGACGGCUAGCACCCAUAGUUUACGGCGUGGACUAC